rnacentral:rRNA from 1 species
UACGUAGGUGGCAAGCGUUGUCCGGAUUUAUUGGGUUUAAAGGGUGCGUAGGCGGCCCUGUAAGUCAGCGGUGAAAUACGGCAGCUCAACUGUCGAGGUGCCGUUGAUACUGCGGGGCUUGAGUGUUGAUGAGGCAGGCGGAAUUGACGGUGUAGCGGUGAAAUGCUUAGAUAUCGUCAAGAACACCGAUAGCGAAGGCAGCUUGCCAAGCAACAACUGACGCUGAGGCACGAAAGCGUGGGGAGCAAACAGG